rnacentral:rRNA from 1 species
AAUGAACGCUGGCGGCGUGCUUAACACAUGCAAGUCGCACGAGAACACUUCAGCUUGCUGAAGUAAGUAAAGUGGCGCACGGGUGAGUAACGCGUGGGUAAUCUACCCUCAAAUUGGGGAUAACCCGCCGAAAGGCGGGCUAAUACCGAAUGACAUCUUGAAAACUUAUGUUUUCAGGAUCAAAGGUGGCCUCUACGUGUAAGCUAUUGUUUGGGGAUGAGCCCGCGUACCAUUAGCUUGUUGGUAGGGUAAUGGCCUACCAAGGCUACGAUGGUUAGCUGGUCUGAGAGGAUGAUCAGCCACACUGGAACUGACACACGGUCCAGACUCCUACGGGAGGCAGCAGUGAGGAAUUUUGCGCAAUGGGGGAAACCCUGACGCAGCAACGCCGCGUGAGUGAUGAAGGCUUUCGGGUCGUAAAGCUCUGUCAAGUGGGAAGAAUUCAUAUGGUGUUAAUAUCGCCAUAUGCUGACGGUACCACUGAAGGAAGCACCGGCUAACUCCGUG